rnacentral:rRNA from 1 species
UACGUAGGGGGCUAGCGUUGUCCGGAAUCAUUGGGCGUAAAGAGCGCGUAGGCGGCUAGAUAAGUCCGGUGUGAAAGUCACAGGCUCAACCUGUGAAUGCCGCUGGAAACUGUCUGGCUAGAGUCCGGAAGGGGCGAGUGGAAUUCCUGGUGUAGCGGUGGAAUGCGUAGAGAUCCGGAAGAACACCAGUGGCGAAGGCGGCCCGCUGGGCAGUGGCUGACGCUGAAGCGCGACAGCGUGGGGAGCAAACAGG